rnacentral:rRNA from 1 species
UACGAAGGGGACUAGCGUUGUUCGGAAUUACUGGGCGUAAAGCGCGCGUAGGCGGAUCGCUAAGUCAGGGGUGAAAUCCCAGGGCUCAACCCUGGAACUGCCUUUGAUACUGAAGAUCUUGAGUUCGGGAGAGGUGAGUGGAACUGCGAGUGUAGAGGUGAAAUUCGUAGAUAUGGGGAGGAACACCGGUGGCGAAGGCGGCCACCUGGACGGUAACUGACGCUGAGACGCGAAAGCGUGGGGAGCAAACAGG